rnacentral:rRNA from 1 species
AUUGAACGCUGGCGGAAUGCUUUACACAUGCAAGUCGAACGGUAGAGGGGGCAACCCCUUGAGAGUGGCGAACGGGUGAGUAAUAUAUCGGAACGUGCCCAGUCGUGGGGAUAACGUAGCGAAAGUUACGCUAAUACCGCAUACGAUCUAAGGAUGAAAGCGGGGGAUCGCAAGACCUCGCGCGAUUGGAGCGGCCGAUAUCAGAUUAGGUAGUUGGUGAGGUAAAGGCUCACCAAGCCAACGAUCUGUAGCUGGUCUGAGAGGACGACCAGCCACACUGGAACUGAGACACGGCCCAGACUCCUACGGGAGGCAGCAGUGGGGAAUUUUGGACAAUGGGCGCAAGCCUGAUCCAGCAAUGCCGCGUGCAGGAUGAAGGCCU